UACGUAGGGACCAAGCGUUGUUCGGAUUUACUGGGCGUAAAGGGCGCGUAGGCGGCGCGGUAAGUCACUUGUGAAAUCUCUGAGCUUAACUCAGAACGGCCAAGUGAUACUGCAGUGCUAGAGUGUGGAAGGGGCAAUCGGAAUUCUUGGUGUAGCGGUGAAAUGCGUAGAUAUCAAGAGGAACACCUGAGGUGAAGACGGGUUGCUGGGCCAACACUGACGCUGAGGCGCGAAAGCCAGGGGAGCAAACGAG
rnacentral:rRNA from 1 species